rnacentral:rRNA from 1 species
CCUAGGGGAGGCAGCAGUGGGGAAUAUUGCACAAUGGGCGCAAGCCUGAUGCAGCCAUGCCGCGUGUGUGAAGAAGGCCUUCGGGUUGUAAAGCACAUUCAGCGGGGAGGAAGGCGGUGAGGUUAAUAACCUCAUCGAUUGACGUUACCCGCAGAAGAAGCACCGGCUAACUCCGUGCCAGCAGCCGCGUAAU